ensembl:lncRNA
UAUCCAAGCCCUUGUUUAUUCCUUCCCCUAAAUUCUCCAAGUAUGUUACACACCAGUACACAGAUGUCUACUUCGUUCUUCUUGUUGGCUGGGUUAUUUUCAAUUGAAUCAAUACCUUGCAAUGUAUUUAUUUAUUCCUGCAUCAAUCGGCAUUUACAAUAUGUCCAGUUUUGUGUCUUUUUUGUUGUUGUUAGUUCAAACAAUGCUGUAGGAAACAUUGUUUUUAUACAUAUCCUGAUUAUUUUAUUGUAAUUUCUGUAGAACAGAUUCUUGUAUGAAGUACUGCGGGCUCCUAAACUAUGCAUAUUUAAAAUUAUAGUAGACAUAGCAAAUUGCUAGGUAAGAGUAUUCUAAUUUAGACUUUCACUAGUAAAAUAUGAGAGUGCCUGUUCUCCCACACAUUCAACACUAUUAUAUAUUAUCAAAGUUAUAUUUUUUAACAAUUUGAUAGAUACAAAAUGCACCAUCACUUCCUUAAUUUGCAUUAAAGUACUAUUUAGAAUGAAUUCAUUUUCUUAUAUUUACUGUCCUUUUUUGAAUAUUUCUUUUUUUAAUUUUCUAGUCGUACUCCUUGUUUCUUCUUCUAUUGGAUUACUUGAUUUUUCUUAUAGAAAAUCAUUAUAUAUUAGAGAAACUGACCUUUACAUGUUAAAUAUGCUGCAAAUAUUUACUGGCAUCUACCUCUCGGAAGCAUUACCUUUCAUCUGGCCGAAUCAUUGCUUCUCUCCAUUUUGUGAUAUUUCAGGGUUUGUGUCUUGCUUAUAGGGGCCUUCCUCACCCCCAAACUGUAGAAUAUAGUCUGCUCUAUAGUCAUCUAAUACUCUCAUAGUUUUAUAUUUCCUUCUAUAAUCCCUAUGGAUUUUUUUUUUAAUAAAGUGAAGUCAGAAUUAAUUUUUGUUUUUCCCAAAUGGAAAGCCAGCUAUCUUUAUACCAUUUAUUGAAUAAUCUAUCCUGCUCCUACACAUUCGAGACAUUUUUUGAAAUGCGAUUUUCUCUAAAUAUUUGAGAAAAUUAAGUCUAGAACGGUGGUUCUCAAAGUGUAGUCUAGGGAGUUCUAGGGGUCUGAGACCCAUUCCGAUGAAAACUAUUUCCAUAACAAUAGUAAUACACCAUAAUGCCAAUGCACUCUCAUUCCCUCAUGAGUGUACACUCGAGUUUUCCAGAAGCUGUAUGAUAUGUCAUGGUGUCAUUGUUAUGAUGGAUACUAGGAUGUGUGUUUGCAUAUUCUUGUGUUUCCAAUUUUUGUUUUAAUUUCUAAUAGGGUAGACAUUGAUAAAUAUAACUCACAUAAACAAAUGUUCUUUAGGAUCCUCAGUAACUUUUGAGAAUUAUGUAAAGGGGUUUGGAAAGGGUUUAUUCCCUGCCCUCUGUCACCUCCACUGAUCAGUUCUGUCAACUUGAACAAGGAGUUUAGCCCAAAACAGCCCCUAGAAUGUGUUUUACCAGUGUCCUCCUCUUAAUUUACCAUUACUCUUUUUCGAAGUGAGACAAAAUCAUUUCUAAUUCCUGAGAUUUCUGGCUCGCAAAUGGGAUCUACUUGUCAUCCAGUUUUAAGGUUCUAACUCAUAACUCAUUCCACUGUUCUUUAAAAAGGAAGAUCAGUUUGUGUUUUAC